AAGAGGGCGAUCUGCCUGUGACAUCUGUCACCCCAUUGAUCUCCAGGGUUGAUUUGGCUGACCUGGCUGGCUAGGCAGGUAUCCCUUUCCUCCCUCAAUGAUCCAGUCAGAGAGGAAGACCACUCCUGAUGGAGGAGGACUGUUCCUUGGUCAAGGAGUUGCACUCCCCUGCUAGAACCUCCUAACAAGCUCUCAAAGUCCACUGAGUACAAACAAGACUUUUUCUCACAUUCUGGGGUGCAGGGACCUUUGGCUGUCUCAAUACUCACGUGCUGGCUGGAGAUGUGAGCUGAAAGC
rnacentral:snRNA from 1 species